rnacentral:rRNA from 1 species
GGGCGCAACCUGAUCCAGCCAUGCCGCGUGUAGUGAUAGAAGGCCUUAGGAUCUGUAAAGCUCUUUCAGAUGGGAAGAUGAUGACGGUAACAUGCAGAAGAAGCCCCGGCUAAUUUCGUGCCAGCAGCCGCGGUAAUACAACGUG